rnacentral:rRNA from 1 species
UGCCAGCCGCCGCGGUAAUACGUAGGUCGCAAGCAUUAUCCGGAUUCACUGGGCGUAAAGCGUCCGCAGCCUGUUUAAUAAGUCUACUUUCAAAUCCCGGGGCUCAACCUCGGACAGGGAGUGGAUACUGUUUAACUAGAGUGAAAUAGAGGGUGGUAGAAUUUCCAGUGGAGGGGUGAAAUCCGUUGAUAUUGGAAGGAAUACCGAAAGCGAAGGCAGCCACCUAUAUUUCUACUGACGGUCAGGGACGAAAGUUUGGGUAGCAAACGGGAUUAGAUA